rnacentral:lncRNA from 1 species
AUUGUGUGAAUCUCGAAAUUGAUUUUGAUGAAAUAGUAAUAACGUUAUUCAUGUUAUGAAUCUCAAAAAUGAUAAUAUGCUUCAUGUGAUAAUAUGAAUACACGAAACACUUAUGAUAUGAUUUUUAUACAAUUCCGUGUAUUCAUAAAAUAUUUAUCUCCUCAUCCAAUAACUUUUCUUGAUAUUCCUUAUGAGAUGAAAUGAAAUAAUGCAUGAAAUACAAAUGAGGAGUUAUUGAUCAUGCAUGGUAGGAUAUAAUUUGACAAAAUUGAUACCAUCAUGAUAUGGAACAUUUAUGAUCUGCAAUUAUGCAUGCAAUACUUGUGCUUUCUAAUUAUGAUGUGAUGUAUUGCAUAUGAUGUAAAUCAUGAUUUAAAAUGCUAUGAGUGCUAAGUUACACAUUUUGAGAAGAAAUUGCUAUAUUGAAACAUUAAUGUAAUUAUGAAUGAUGAUAUGAUAUUAUGCAUGUAAUACUUCAACCUAUGAUAACGAUGCAUGCAAUGAUAAAAUAUUCAUGAUGAAAAAUUGUCUUGACAUUCAUAACUUGAUUAUUCAUCCUUUGUCAUGAUUUUGAAAUCGUUGUAAAAGGAAAAAGAACUACAAAACUGUAUUCUUCCUUUCUUUUUGACAAUGACAAAGGGGGAGAUAGCUAGCUUGCACAAGUCAAGAAGAUGCAAAAACUUGAUUGCUAACUUGCUUAUUUCAAGAAGCAAAAAUUGUCUUCUUGAAAAUCACUAUCUUGAAUAUCUCAAGAAGCAAGACUUGCAACCUGCACAUUACAAUAGGAAGCAAUAAUCAUGAGCCUACACAAGAAAGUUAUCUUGCAUUUGCUUUCGAAGUUUUUGCUAGCUUGUAUAUCGUAAAAAUUGCUAGCUUGUAGUCUAAAGAGAAGCGAAAAGUUGCUAUCUCAAAAGAAGCAUAUGUGCUAUCUUGCCUAUCUCAAGAGGCAAAAAUGCUAACUUGCACAUCUAGCAAAACUUGACAAAUUUGCAUAUUUCAAGAAGCAAGAGUUGCCUUCUUGAACAUCUCUAAUUUUCAUACCAAGUGCUAUCUUGUAUACUGUAAAACUUGCAUAUCUAAAACUUGAUAGCUUGAAUGUUCUAAGCAUGAUGUAACAUUUGCUAAAUUUUCUGGCUUCAAAACUGCAUGAUGAUAAAACUUGAUAAUAUGUUUUUCAUGCAAUAAGUUAAAC